rnacentral:pre_miRNA from 1 species
AGGAGGAGAGGAUCCUGGGCCGUGUCCCUCUGGCGCCCUGAGAUCCAGGGCCUGUGCUGUUGGAAUCACGCUCCUGGUGCCCACGCCCCCG